rnacentral:rRNA from 1 species
AUUGAACGCUGGCGGCGUGCUUAACACAUGCAAGUCGUGCGGUAACAGGCGUAGCAAUACGUGCUGACGAGCGGCGAACGGGUGCGUAAUACAUGGGAAUCUGCCUUUUAGUGGGGAAUAACCCGGCGAAAGCCGGCGUAAUGCGCAUAAGAUCUUCGGAUGAAAGACGGGGAGUCGUAAGACCUCGCGCUGAUAGAUGAGCCCACUGCCGGA